rnacentral:rRNA from 1 species
GAUGAACGCUGGCGGCGUGCCUAAUACAUGCAAGUCGAGCGAACGGACGAGAAGCUUGCGUCUCUGAUGUUAGCGGCGGACGGGUGAGUAACACGUGGAUAACCUACCUAUAAGACUGGGAUAAUUUCGGGAAACCGGAGCUAAUACCGGAUAAUAUUUUGAACCGCAUGGUUCAAAAGUGAAAGACGGUCUUGCUGUAACUUAUAGAUGGAUCCGCGCUGCAUUAGCUAGUUGGUAAGGUAACGGCUUACCAAGGCAACGAUGCAUAGCCGACCGGAGAGGCUGAUCGGCCACACUGGAGGUGAGACACGCUCCAGACGCCUACGGGAGGCAGCAGUAGGGAAUCUUCCGCAGUGGGCGGAAACCUGACGGAGCAACGCCGCGCGGGUGAUGGCGGCCCUCGGUGCGUAAUACUGUGUUAUGAGGGAAAAACAUAUGUGUACGUAAAUGUGCCGAGCUUGACGGUACCUAGUCAGAAAGCACCGGCUAACUACGUG